UACGGGGGGGGCAAGCGUUGUUCGGAAUUACUGGGCGUAAAGGGCGCGUAGGCGGCCGGCUAAGUCGAACGUGAAAUCCCCGGGCUCAACCCGGGAACUGCGUCCGAUACUGGUCGGCUUGAAUUCGGGAGAGGGAUGUGGAAUUCCAGGUGUAGCGGUGAAAUGCGUAGAUAUCUGGAGGAACACCGGUGGCGAAGGCGGCAUCCUGGACCGGCAUUGACGCUGAGGCGCGAAAGCCAGGGGAGCAAACGGG
rnacentral:rRNA from 1 species